AGUGUUUAGUAUAUUGUGGGUGCUCCGUAAACAUUUUACUCAAUGGAUAAAUGAAAUGACGAUGAAAUCCUUGUUUAGAAUCCUGUGUUCAGCUCUUUGCUCUUCAACUGUAGACAUGCACAGAAGCAUAAAGGAUCUACCAUUUCAACAAUAUUCACUGCAUCUUCACCAGGAGUAGAUUCUAUCUCAAGAAUUCUAUCUUCACUUUCUUUGCUCAUCCAUAAGAAGCAACUCCUCAACCAUUAAAGUUUGCAGCAAUC
rnacentral:lncRNA from 1 species